UGACGCAGCCGAUGUCUAAUGAGAGUGGUCUUGGAACUAUUGGAGAGCAUUAAAUUUUAAGAUCAAGAUUCCCGAUGAGCUAACCUCAAGAGAGUUGCUCAAUCUUUACCUUAGUUAAAAGAUUGUAAAUUUAUAUUUUGGGUCUAUUAUUUUUUGAGCCUAUCAUAUCCUUGAUUUACGGUAAAAAUUUCCCAACUAAUACAAAUUUAGAAAUAAUAUUUUAUUGGGAGCCUUGCUUAGAAACAAAAGCAAAAUAAAAACAAAGUUCAUCUGUAUUUUAUAUAUACUUUUCUGUUCUGUAAAAAUAUGGGCAAAAUUGGAACCCUUAAUAUGUUGCUGGUUGCUUUUUUAUUCAGCAUAAGCUUGUCAACCUCAAAAGCUGACUUCAACUACGACGCUGUGGAGAGUGACCCAGCCGCUCUGGAGGCCAAACGAGGUGCGGCCAGCUGGUGGAACUACCGACUGUGCGCUGGGGGGUGCAGGGGAAAGAGGGGGUCAGUUUGGAGCAGAAUGGCCCGAUUAUCUGACUCAUCAGAGACCGAACGCCCUCUAAAACGAUAACUCAUUAUUAUAACUCAUUUCUCUUAUGCGUGAUUUCAUCAAGACAAUCAAAUAAGUGUCCAAGUUGUUUAAAUUGAAUGACGGAAAGUAUCAAA